ACCGCACGCUCAAUGUAUUGAACGGUGUUGGAGAACCUCAUCGUGCACGUUCAUGCAGUACGACGAAAACACGUCUCUUUGUCAGCUGUACACACAGACCCUCCCAACGCCGGGGGCAGGGACCAGGCAGAUAGUGUCCAUGACAGACUUUAGUCCUGCCUUCCCCGCCUGUACCUGUGCCCCAGGCCACAUGUGUGUAGAGACAUCCGUUGGGCAACAGUGCAUGCGGCUGAAGUAACGCUCACAGAAAGCAACAUGGCAUGGAAGAAAUAGAUCUUGUCUUUGAAUGCCUAUUUCUUCAAACGCUCAUGGAAGGGUUAGAUUAAAAAAGAAACGAAUAGUGUACCUACCAGAAAAUAUAAUGCUGUAGAAAGAACUGGCAAAGACUGUUGCAUCUUCUAGAAAAAAAACUUCAAUAUAAUAGAUUCCUUUUAAUUU